rnacentral:rRNA from 1 species
GAUGAACGCUGGCGGCGUGCCUAAUACAUGCAAGUCGAGCGAACAGACGAGGAGCUUGCUCCUCUGACGUUAGCGGCUGCCGGGUGAGUAACACGUGGAUAACCUACCUUUAAGACUGGGAUAACUUCGGGAAACCGGAGCUAAUACCGGAUAAUAUAUUGAACCGCAUGGUUCAAUAGUGAAAGCCGGUUUUGCUGUCACUUAUAGAUUGGAACGCGCCGCAUUAGCUAGUUGGUAAGUUAAAGGCUUACCAAAGCAACGAUGCGUAGCCGACCUGAGAGGGUGAUCGGCCAGACGGGAACAGAGACACGGUCGACACACCGGAGGGAGGCAGCAGUCGAGAAUCCUACGCGAUGGGCGAGAGCUGGACGGAGCAACGCCGCGGGAGCGAUGAAGGAGUGCCGUUGCGAAAGCGAAGUAGUCAGUGAAGAACAAAUGUGUAAGUAACUAUGCAGAAAAUGACGGUACCAAAUCAGAAAGCCCCGGCUAACUACGUG